ACCACUUUUUACCUGCCAAUCAUACCUCAAUAAAGUAAUUUGAAAAAAAAAUAGUAAUCUUCUAUUUUAAGAAUGUUUUGAACUCUGAAAUUCAUUCCUUAGGUAUAUCUAUCUCACUUUCAGCUGGUCACAGUCUUCACUUGAUUCACGACUUGAUCUUCCUUCAGCAAAGACAAACUCGUUUAUAUUGUUUCCCUUCCAAUUCUUUGUUCCCAGGAGACUUUGACCUAGUGAACCUCUGCUCUCAGCAGUCUUCUUCUUUUCCCAUGUGAUUCUCUGGUGUUCUGAGCCGAGAAAAGGCAGUAGAGAAGUACAAAGACCAGGGUGUACUGCUGUGAAGUCUGGGCUUUGGAUUUCAGACAACACACAGUUUGUUCUUUAAUUUCUGAGCCUGUGUGUGUGUGUGUGUGUAUGUGUGUAGUAGCCCAGUUUCCUGGUCUGUACGGGCUUGAUUAUCUGAGUCAAUGGGCUUAUGGUGGAAAGAUGUGGAAUCUUUUAUGUCUUUUCUCAGGCUGUUUCUUAUUUCAUGAUUUAAGGCCAGAGUUGGUUGUGAAUUGUAGCCUCUCUCUAUGGUUCUCUUUUUAAAUCUUGCUCCAUCAGCCUUAAAACUAAUAAUAAUAACAAUAAUAAUACUACUACUAAUAAUGACAUAUACUUUACUGAGGAAUCUCAACACACUGAAGCCAAAACAUGAAACUUUUUUUUGGUAAAUAAUCAUGCUCUGUUAACUGCUAUUUCCACCUCUGGGUGAUGGGUUCCUUGAUGAUAUUUUGCCCAAGUUCUACAACGUUUUCAGUCACUUCUGGUUGUUAAAACGUGUUAAUCAGGCUUGUUCAUGAUAAGUUUAAAUUUUCAAUUUUACAUUAAAUUUCCCAUCCCCACCCAAGUACUUUCCAUCUCUAUCCCUACCUCAAAUCAAGUGGUAGAUGGGACUUCAGAGCUGCUUCCUCUCCAGAGACUUGAGUGGGAAAGGACAGGCCAAAGGACAAGAGCCAAGUUCUUCCACUGUUGCUUGUUCCUGCCUCUGGCUGCCAUUAGCAGGCUGUCUACACCUUUCCGUGGUCAAUUUCCCCUUGGUGGUCACUGAUGGUCUCUUUGGAGGAAGCUGGGAGAGAAAAGACUCUCCUCUGCAGAGCCAUGGAUUCGAAGGAUCAGGCUUCAGCUUGGCCUCUUUCCACCCUUCUGAGUCCAAUGAAAGACAGUAUCAGCAGUCUCCGUAGAUGGAAUGCUUUUUCCUGGUGAUGAGGCUUCUUGUUGAGAUAUAGAUGAAAUGUUCACCCAACCAAGGAAAUUUUUGUAUUCUCACUCUGAACAAAUUGGGUUUUAGCAGUUUCUCAGCCACUUUUUCCCUCAAUUCCACCAUCUCUUUCCCACUCAUUUCUCUGAGCCCAAGGAAUGCAUUGGAUACUCAGCUUGAGAUAGGCUAGCACUUGGGACCUGGGACCCUUUGCUUCAGUGGCUGCAGUGCUUGCAGUGCUUGCACUUGGACAAACAUCUCCUUGAGCAACAAAAUACAAAGAAAACUAUAAGGGACUAAAGAUAACUGUGUGCAUGCACACUAAGCCACUCUUCUGGACCAGCCUGGACCAGCCCCUAUCCUCACCCCAUAUAAGGAACCAGUGAGCAAGUGACCAAGAGAACCUGCUUAUUUUCACGCCCCUCUGUUACAGCAGAACAUCCCCAAAUGAAGCCUUGCCUGAAUUUCUUAUCUGGCCUCUUAUCGAUUUCUGUUGAUUAAGGAAGACCAAGAGCCCAGGCUGGUAACAAGCUGACCUGGUGCCUCAUCAAUCUUCAGGGAAAGAAUGAUCAGUAAUCUCUUGGUUAAUGAAAAAUGGGGGUGUUGGAAACCCCCAAGCUUAGUUAGAAUUUUUCUUAGGAUCUCCCCCUUAGCUUCUUGGAGAAGAAACACCAGCUAUCUUCCCCAUGGGGAAGGGAGGGUUAUUAUAGUCUCUUUUUCUGAAUAUUCACUCAGAGGCUGCACUUCUCUGCCUGUUCUUCCUUUAUAUCAUUUGGGGAGUUGGGGCCGGAGGUGGAGGAGACUAAAACCAGCACCUCUCAGUAAACCUGGAACAUUUUUGACAUUACACAUUUGCUACAAUUCCAGGACAAGGAGGAAAAUCUUGUUUUACAAUGACAACAGUAAUAACCAUGAAACCACACUACUCAGGCUAACAUUUACUAUUUACUCUGUGCCAUGCAUGGUGCUGAGGGCUUCUCUUAUCCUCAGGGCAAGCCUGUGAGAUUGUCCCCAUUAUGUCCUCUUUGUAGGUGGGGAAAAUUAAGAUUACUCAACUAUUAAAUGUUAGAGCCAAAGUUCAGACCUAGAGUCUGCAUUUUUAACCAAUUUUCCUCAUUGUGCAUGUCUCAGUGAUGCUAUUGGGAGUUUCCCUCUUCAGUGUAUCUUCAUAGGUAUGGACUAGAGAAAUUGCAGGGGAGCACUGGCACUGUUAGAAGCCAUUUUCAACCAGAAAUCUCAUUUUCCCCUUGGAUUCUGUGAUUCAGGCAUAGAUAAUAAAUACGGUUUAGCAGAGGUUAAUAAAACACUCACUGACUUACUGCCAACUUCACUCUAGGCCCGUGUUUUUUUUUGUUGUUUUUUUUUUUUAGGGAAUAACUACCUCUUUGGGAAUUAAUUUUCCCAUGUGGAUUUGAAUUAAUUCCCUCAGGCCACAGAACUGUAAUCUGGAAGAGUUCAUUUAGCAAAUGGCACCCAGCGUUUCUCACCCUGGUUUGCCAAAGACACUGUGAGGCUUUGUUUGAACACAGGCAAUGGUACUGGACGGCAGAUGUUUGCAAAUACCAUUUGUUUAAUUGCUCAGGCACUUUAUAAUAUAUUUUUCUCCUAAGCUGUGGGAAACACAUCCUUUAUCAGCUUUAAAACAGAGUGCAACUUUGGAGAGCCAUUCUGCCUGCCUUUUUUCCUUGUGCAUUGGUCCAGACAGAUCGAAUGAACAAAAAGAAGAGAAAGGGGAAGCCGUUGGCAGUUACUCUCCUCUUUGCCUCUUUGUAGCAGCAUCAGCAAUAUAGAAAUGAGUACCUUUUCCCAUCCUGCUCCCUCCCCUCUAAGGAGCCACCACCCAACAGACUAGCAGUCACAGCUAAGAAGCUGAAAAGAUGAAAAUACCGUCGAGGAGGAGGCUCACAUGGCAGUCGCCCUGUGAGCUGUAAGUAUGACAACUUACAGCAUCUACAGUUAGUGCCUGACUUUGGGAAUUUCAUAGGGACCCGGCAUUGCCCAUGGCUGGUGCAAGCACUAAGGCAAGGUUCCCAGGUACACAAUUAGUGCCUGGCAUGGCCUUUCCCUCUGUGCACCAUGACUUCAGUCUCUACGGGGGCUAUAGAGUCCCUGGCAAUUGCACCUUAGAGAACAUGGCUGUGCCAUAAGUUGGUCCAGGUUUCAGGAUAUUUGGAGAAAAAAUGUUUUCCAGUGUUAGGAAUCAACAUGAAAGAGACAUUUUGGGCAGUUAUUCUAAAGAGGAUGGAUGAAAAAUACAAUACCACAGGAUGGAAAUGAAUUUGCACCUUAAGAUCACAACUUUGGCUUUCAUACCACAUUCCACUAAUAAUUAGAGGAGAGAAAACUACAGCCUCUGGGAGGAAAAAUACUCAGGUCAUUUCCAACUCAGUUGCCAAGUUUCUGGAAAUAGCUCAAUGCACCUGGCCACACAUGGCUCUUAUCUUGUAGAUAAACAAGACAGCUUCCUCACAGUGACACAGUAUUGAGUGUUCUCAUGUUAAAUGCUUCAUUUCAAAGCAUUCAUCUCAUCUUUUCCAACAGAUUACAACAAAAGGACAACAUUCUUCUGUUUUCCUUUAUUAUUUUUUUUUUUGCAAGCUGCUGUCUCUGUAAUAUGUUAGAUGGUCAUAUUAAAACAGACCCUUUCAAAAACACUCUGUCAACAUUGGAGUAUUUGAAGGGGAUAUACAAACUUCCAUUUUAUAAGCUGUGUGGGUGUGGUAACUUUUGCAUACUCUGGCAUAAAACCAGGUUAUGCAAAGAAGAGAUUCUGAUUCUGCAUGGUCCAGACUUACUUCUGACAUCAGAAGACACAGACACACAAAAACACACACAGACACACACACACUAAAAUAACAUGGUUAGGAAAUCAAUCCUUAGUUCUCUCAUUGAGGUAUCAUGACCUAUGCUUCUCGGGGGGAUAUGGAAGUCUCCUUUUUUAUGAUUUUGACAUACAGCUAGCUGCCUUCAGAUGGGUUUGUAGUUUCUCUUCCUGUCCAUGGCCAAAACUCAGGAAACUGACAAAAUAUUCAUUGCUUACUGACCCAAACUCCCUUCUUUGGGCCCUUAACAACUUGAGAUGCCUGUUUGCCCUAUUCUCAAGUGUUUUUUUAUUGAGAAAGUUGUAAUAUGUGAAAGAGUCACUUCAUUCAUUUUUAAUAUUAUUUUUAAUGAAACUACAUUAUAGAAGAU
rnacentral:lncRNA from 1 species